AAAAUUGUCAUCGCCAAAAUGGAGCUGUUAAAACUUGAGGGAAAUUUUGUUUUAUUAUGAAGGGAAAGACGUCGUUUUUGGCCGUCAACACAGUAGGAGGCGGUAAACCGCUAUUGAAGUAGAUAGAGAGUUUCAUUGAUCAGGCAUCAGGUGCUCUCUCUCUCUUGUAGAUUUUUUUUUGAACAAGUUAAUUCCAUGUGUUUAGAUUUGCGUUAUAGGUGUUCUUUUGAACAGGUUCCUUGUGUUUAGAUUUGCAGGGCAGUUUUUCUUGUUUCCUUGGUGUUGAGGAACCAUGUUGUGUUGUGUUUUUUGACAAUUGCAUAAUAUGCUUGUCAUGUAACAGGUGGUAUGUUUGGUUUCUUAGGAAGAAAAAGAUUUUUGGAUAUUUCUGCUUGAAAACAUCCAUUCAGCUUAGGUGUCUGUUACAUAGGUUUCUGAUUGUUUUGUUCUUGUGUCUGAUUGCUGCAUCUUGUACCAGAUACUCUAGGAAGCUCAAAGGUUAAGGAGUUCGAGAGACCCAUGAGACUAGCUGCAUUGUCUACAUACUGUAAUAUGCUUGAUAUAGACAAUUUUAGUGAACUUUCUUUUAGCAUAACAUAAUUUUCCUGUUUUGAAUUAACCAAGUUUCUUUUAAUUUCACUUUUUACUAAGAACUUGAUGCAACCAUGAAAUGACUGCCUUUCUAGGAAGCAUAGCCUCUUGCUUUCCACUUCCUGAGGGUUAUUUGCUCUGCUUAUAGAUUAUGCUCUGGGUGCUACCAUAUGUUCUUCUGUAUGAUAAUUUCUGUAGUAUUGCAUGUCAAACAAUAUAAAAAUUUGAUCAGAGACAAUCGUUCGUUUUAUUUUGGCUGUUGUAUUAGGAAGGAAACUGUUUGAGCUUGGACAGUAGUAUUUCAAGAAGCUUGGUUGCUCGUUCCUGGAUUUGUACACAAACGCCAAAUUUUUAAGUGAGUCCGCAGCUUUUAUCGAAUCUAUCUGCUAUGAAUAGAGAUGGCAUGUACCUUGUAA
rnacentral:lncRNA from 1 species